UACGUAGGGGGCAAGCGUUGUCCGGAAUCAUUGGGCGUAAAGAGCGCGUAGGCGGUCCGGUAAGUCCGCUCUGAAAGUCCGGGGCUCAGCCCCGGAAGGCGGGCGGAUACUGUCGGGCUAGAGUCCGGAAGAGGCGAGUGGAAUUCCUGGUGUAGCGGUGAAAUGCGCAGAUAUCAGGAGGAACACCGAUGGCGAAGGCAGCUCGCUGGGACGGUACUGACGCUGAGGCGCGAAAGCGUGGGGAGCAAACAGG
rnacentral:rRNA from 1 species